UUGCUUAGGCAGCACAUACACUAAAAUUGGAACCAUACAGAGAAGGUUAUCAUGGCCCCUGUGCAAGGAUGACUUAUAAAUUCAAGAAAUUUUCCAUAUUUUU